AGGACGAACGCUGGCGGCGUGCUUAAUACAUGCCAAGUCGAGCGAGGCCUUGGAAUUGGAGUCCUUCGGGAUGAAGAGUCCUUGGCCUAGCGGCGGACGGGUGAGUAACGCGUGGGCAACCUACCCCAAAGUCCGGGAUAACAGUGGGAAACCGCUGCUAAUACCGGAUGACUUUACCUGAGGGCAUCCUUGGGUAAAGAAAGGUUACGCUUUGGGAUGGGCCCGCGUCCCAUUAGCUAGUUGGUGAGGUAACGGCUCACCAAGGCGACGAUGGGUAGCCGGCCUGAGAGGGUGAACGGCCACACUGGGACUGAGACACGGCCCAGACUCCUACGGGAGGCAGCAGUAGGGAAUAUUGCGCAAUGGGCGGAAGCCUGACGCAGCGACGCCGCGUGAGCGAAGAAGGCCUUCGGGUCGUAAAGCUCUGUCCUUGGGGAAGAAGGCGAAAGCUUGACGGUACCCAAGAAGAAAGCCCCGGCUAACUACGUG
rnacentral:rRNA from 1 species